AGAGUUUGAUCCUGGCUCAGAGUGAACGCUGGCGGCAGGCCUAAUACAUGCAAGUCGAACGGCAGCACAGCAGAGCUUGCUCUGUGGUGGCGAGUGGCGGACGGGUGAGGAAUACGUGGGAAUCUGCCCAGUCGUGGGGGAUAACGUAGGGAAACUUACGCUAAUACCGCAUGCGCCCUUCGGGGGAAAGCCGGGGACCUUCGGGCCUGGCGCGAUUGGAUGAGCCCACGUCGGAUUAGCUAGUUGGCGGGGUAAAGGCCCACCAAGGCGACGAUCCGUAGCUGGUCUGAGAGGAUGAUCAGCCACACUGGAACUGAGACACGGUCCAGACUCCUACGGGAGGCAGCAGUAGGGAAUAUUGGACAAUGGGCGCAAGCCUGAUCCAGCCAUGCCGCGUGAGUGAAGAAGGCCCUCGGGUUGUAAAGCUCUUUUGUCCGGAAAGAAAAGCGCCGGGUUAAUACCCUGGUGUCCUGACGGUACCGGAAGAAUAAGCACCGGCUAACUUCGUG
rnacentral:rRNA from 1 species